rnacentral:rRNA from 1 species
GACGAACGCUGGCGGCGUGCUUAACACAUGCAAGUCGAACGGAAAGGCCCUGCUUGCAGGGUACUCGAGUGGCGAACGGGUGAGUAACACGUGGGUGAUCUGCCCUGCACUUCGGGAUAAGCCUGGGAAACUGGGUCUAAUACCGGAUAGGAGCCAUUUUUAGUGUGAUGGUUGGAAAGUUUUUUCGGUGUAGGAUGAGCUCGCGGCCUAUCAGCUUGUUGGUGGGGUAAUGGCCUACCAAGGCGGCGACGGGUAGCCGGCCUGAGAGGGUGGACGGCCACAUUGGGAUUGAGAUACGGCCCAGACUCCUACGGGAGGCAGCAGUGGGGAAUAUUGCACAAUGGGCGCAAGCCUGAUGCAGCGACGCCGCGUGGGGGAUGACGGCCUUCGGGUUGUAAACUCCCUUCGCUAGGGACGAAGCUUUUUGUGACGGUACCUAGAUAAGAAGCACCGGCUAACUACGUG